rnacentral:sRNA from 1 species
UAUGAUAAAAUAAAAUGUCCACAUGUUC